UGCAUGGGCUGUCUCGUUCAGCGCUCGUGUGCGUAAGGUGUGUUUUGGGUUAAGUCUCGCAACGAGCGCAACCCUCCUGUUUAGUUGCCACUAUGAGUUUGGAACCCUGAACAGACCGCCGGUGUUAAGCCGGAGGAAGGAGAGGAUGAGGCCAAGUCAUCAUGCCCCUUAUGCCCUGGGCGACACACGUGCUACAAUGGGCGGGACAAAGGGUCGCGAUCUCG
rnacentral:ncRNA from 1 species